rnacentral:rRNA from 1 species
AGGAUCAUUAUCGAAAUAAACCUGAUGGGUUGUUGCUGGUUUCUCUAGGGAGCAUGUGCACGCCUUGUCAUCUUUAUAUUCUCCACCUGUGCACCUUUUGUAGACCUCUCUCAAGGUCUAUGUUGCUUCACUUACCCCAAUGUAUGUCAAUGAGAAUGUGUAAUGAAAUCUAUACAACUUUCAGCAACGGAUCUCUUGGCUCUCGCAUCGAUGAAGAACGCAGCGAAAUGCGAUAAGUAAUGUGAAUUGCAGAAUUCAGUGAAUCAUCGAAUCUUUGAACGCACCUUGCGCUCCUUGGUAUUCCGAGGAGCAUGCCUGUUUGAGUGUCAUUAAUAUAUAUAUAUCAGCCACUCUUGUUGAGUGGUCUGGAUGUGGGGGGGUUUCUUUUGCUGGGCCUCUAUGGGGGUUCAGCUCCCCUGAAAUGCAUUAGCAGAACGACCUGUUCAUUCGUUGGUGUGAUAAACUAUCUACGCUAUUGAAUGUGAGGCACUUCAGCUUUCCAACAGUCCUUGGACAAUUUUACCAUUUUAUGUGACCUCAAAUCAGGUAGGACUACCCGCUGAACUUAAGCAUAUCAAUAAGCGGAGGAAAAGAAACUAACAAGGAUUCCCCUAGUAACUGCGAGUGAAGCGGGAAAAGCUCAAAUUUAAAAUCUGGCAGUCUUUUUGGCUGUCCGAGUUGUAAUCUAGAGAAGUGUUAUCCGCGCUGGACCGUGUACAAGUCUCCUGGAAUGGAGCAUCACAGAGGGUGAGAAUCCCGUCUUUGACAUGGACUGCCAGGGCUUUUGUGAUGCGCUCUCAAAGAGUCGAGUUGUUUGGGAAUGCAGCUCAAAAUGGGUGGUAAAUUCCAUCUAAAGCUAAAUAUUGGCGAGAGACCGAUAGCGAACAAGUACCGUGAGGGAAAGAUGAAAAGAACUUUGGAAAGAGAGUUAAACAGUACGUGAAAUUGCUGAAAGGGAAACGCUUGAAGUCAGUCGUGUCGUCCAGGGAUCAACCUUGCUUUUGCUUGGUGCACUUUCUGGUCUGACGGGUCAGCAUCAAUUUUGACUGUUGGAAAAAGGUCAAGGGAAUGUGGCAUCUUUGGAUGUGUUUAUAGCCCUUGGUCACAUACAAUGGUUCGGGAUUGAGGAACUCAGCAUGCCGCAAGGCCGGGUUUUUCAAACCACGUACGUGC